UUUAGGAAAAAAACCCUAAUUUGUGCAUUAUGAAGAGAGGAUGUUGUCAGCCAAUUUGGGGAAGAGAUUUUCGUCCGAAAAAGAAACAAUUACUCACCCUUAUUUUAUUUUUGAGUCUUGUUUGUACAUAACUAACAAGUUCUAUCCUAAACCCUUUUUCAAUCUACCAGCCGUUCUUACACUACCAACAUAAACCUCAUGUUCAAACUAAUUCAUCCAAGACCUCUCAUUACAUAAACCAGACUAUCACCACCCUUGCUCAUGCGAAUUUCAGGCCAUAAUUUUUUCUGUCUCUUAACCGUCAAUACAAAAAAAAAAAAAUCCACCGAAUUCUUGUACCUGUAGCAAACAACAACAAUACAUAGUUGGAGUCCAAAAUCACAAACAUAAGCUAUCUGGAUCGGAAACGCGUCGAGGAGUAACUAUGUUCAAUUCCUCUACACAAAUGUACAAUCCAAGCACAAAACCUUGAAACAGUCCACCAACAAAGCCGCAAAUUGAAGCUCGGUGUUACUUUACCGAUUUGAUCUUUAAACUCGUCUGUUCCAACAAUCGACAUCAAGCAACACCGCCGCGUCUGCAGUCAUACCACCCCCACGAACAACAACGUCAUCGCAUCCAACAGCCACCACGACAUCAGAAACAGAAUCCACGACUCAGCAAUAACAAUAGCUACAACAGCAACAACGCAGCAGCGAAAAUCGCAACCUGCGAGUAGCACCGACACGCAUCAACGGAUCAGAAGAAGGAGGAAGAACUCACCUCGGGGUACUCAUCGAAGACUGUCAAACUCGGGUUUCCUAUUCGCCUUGGUAGAAUAGGUGGCAACUCUAAACAUUAAUUUUUAGGGCAGGUUGCUACAUAGUGAUAUCAGGUUUCAGCAAAGUUUGAUUGGGAAGAGAGGUUAAUUUCGUGUUUCAGCGAAGUUUGAUUGGAAAGAGAGGUUAAUUUCGUGUUUCAGCGAAGUUUGAUUUCAGGCUUCACAAAAUAUUUUCAAUAAACCACUCGUUCGAACGGAUACACUUCAACUUGUUGUGAUGACGCCAUUCACUCAUUCGCUCACUGAAAAAUGAAGAUCUCUUCUUCGCCAACACCGCACCGCUCAUUCGCUCACUCGCUCACUCUUAUUUCACCGAAACUGAGAGGGAACCAUUUCACAGUGACGACAACGAAGCUGAGAGGAAACCAUUUCACAAUGACGAUAUUGGAAAAUCCUAAUAGCAAUAUCAAAACUAAUUUUGCAAACUCUAAUUAGAAAGGAUCACCAAACGAUAACUUCAAAAACAAACAAAAUAGAGGGGGAUCACAAGGAGGGUUCUAGAAAUCUUAAUUUCGUGAUAACAACAAAGGAAACAGGAGAGCAGGGUUUUAAAAAGAUCAUAAGGGGCAAUUUGUGCUUGGAAAGAAUAGUUGCUAACAAAUUGUAUUGAUUAAAGCUCCUUCUUCUUUCAACCAACUCCUGCAUCUUUAGCAUAACAUUUUGAAGUGUUGUACGUUCCCUUUCUGAUAUUAUGCAGAUAGUCCACACCUAGUAACAGAAACUUCAGAGGGCGGUGCCUAGUUCAUCGCAGAAGCGUAAUUUUACUUGACUCACAAUAUGCAUAACCUUUUGAUAUACAUCUUGUGUAUGAUUAAUAUUCUACCAUUUCAUUUUUAUUCAAAUUUUGAAAUGCUUAUAAGUAUUUAGAAUCUUCAUCAAUGGUUUCUUAAACUCAUGCUUUUCCUGAUAUUGGUCCAAACUUUCUGUCUUCUAUAGCAUCUAUUUUGAAUAACCAGGUUGGGACGUAUCUUAGAAUGUAAAAUUUGUAGUCGUAAUUGAAGGCAUCAAAGGCACGAGAAAUAUUUCAUUUACAACAACUUCAUACAUGAAAUCAAACCGUUAGAUUAUGAUAAUAUGGCGUUUCUUGGAAUUCUCGGUGAAGGAAGUUACGCUUGGGUUUCUCAAUACCGUAUCGUUAAUGAUAACAGCACUGUGGCCGUUAAACAAAUCUCGAUAGCCAACACUUCCAAGUUCCAAUGUUGUUCACGGUUUCAUCAUCAGAGAGGUCUCGUUUCUAAAAGAAUUGAAUCAUCCAAACAGUGUUAGGUAAUAAUUGGUUAACAAUUGCAAGUUUUUUUUCAUAAUAUAUAUAGAUAUUGACUGAUGUUUAGACUGUGGUUUGCAAAUUGGUGAAGACCUUUUUGUUAUCAACGUUUUGCGCUUUUCUCACCACUUGUUCAUGAAAGGUCUCCCCCCGAAAAGGCCUCCAGGUCUUUCUUUAUCUUCCUGGUUGUAUCUUUUUGUUUCUCACUUACUAUUAUAGCUUCUUUUGUUUUGUUAUUUUCUCACUUUCUUGACCACUUGUGUUACCACUUUCUGUUAUAGCUUAUAUGAAUAAGUUGUUUUGGGACUGAUACGAGUCAGCCUAUUAGAUGUCCCAGGGUAAAGAAUUCUACCAAAAGCAAUUUCAGGUCCUAUGUUCCAUUUCAACUGCACAUGCAUAAAUUAGAAGAUCAUGUUUCAUUUUUACCAGAAAUUUUUGGUGUAUUGGAACAGGACAAAACAAAGAUGUUAUUGUAGCUUUCCCAGAUGUCGAUCCUUCGUUACUUUCAGUACAGCAUGAACACUCUAGUUCCCAUGCCAAGACAAACUCUAGAGCAAUUAUCCAGGAAGUAGGAUAAUUAAAAUAGGGUGUAAUGUAGCAUAUAAAAUAGUGUGUAAAUGGAAUUAAAUAUAAUAUAAUUUGUUCAUUUAUAAAGGGUGUAAAUUAUAUUUUAAAAGUGUGUAACUAAGAACGUAUUUACACUCGAUUUUUAUUAAAAUAAAGUGUAAUUAAGAUCAUAUUUACACCCGAUUUUUAUUAAAAUAGGGUGUAAUUAAGAUCAUAUUUACACCCGAUUUUUAUUAAAAUAGGGUGUUAUUAAGAACAUAUUUACACCCGAUUUUUAUUAAAAUAGGGUAUAAUUAAGAACAUAUUUACACCCCAUUUUUAUUAAAAUAGGGUGUAAUUAAGAA